UCGCUGUUCAAUCAAUAUAAAACAUAAAUAACAUUUUAUUAUACUUCGUUCAGUUACCGUGUUGCAGGCAAAUGAUAGCAGCGUAUGUUACUGUGUUUAUUGGAGCCAUGGUGAGCGUGUCCGAGCCGCGCAGAUACGACCUGGAGGAGGAGUCCAAGAAGAUGUACGGCCAUGACGUCAGAUCCGUGUUGGACAAGUUCCGGCGGACUCCCGAUUACGUCACGAUCCUGCAUCAGGAGAUCGCGGCAUUGUACGACCACAUGCUCAUCAACGAGAUCCAGAACAGAUACUACUUCAACAACAAACUGAAGGAAAAAGUGUUCACGGUGGUCACCGGCAACAUUACUGAGGCACCGUCUGCCGGGGCGAAGUUACGAACCGAGGGUGUCACUUACACGUCGCUGGUGGGUCCUCACCGCCAGCCUGUCGUCCGGCAACACACACACAACAUGAGCGCCGUAGAGCGGCUGCAGACCUACGGCAAGCUGAGCUCCCUGCUGACGCCGGAGAAGAGGAACCACAUGAUGGACUUGGGCUUCGAGUACGCCGGGUACGCAAUACACGGCUUAAUCAAAUCGAUGGAGCCGUCUGGUAAAUCGCUGUCAACUCUUAACCCUUUUGUUGGAGAUAACGCAAAGACUUCUUUCCAUGAUCAUAAUCAUCAUCAGGUGUCAACGCGAACGGUCAUCGAACAAAGCGGCGACGACGAGGCGAGCACACCAGAUGUGCGCAACGCGCGCGGUCACCGGGGAUACAAAAACCAUUAAAACAACACAUAUUUAUAUUUGAAAUACAAAUUGUAUGUUAUU